rnacentral:lncRNA from 1 species
CUGGGUCUGGGGCUGGACGUUGACCUAGGACCCCGCCCCUGCCCGCCCUGCGCCGCGCCCCUCCCGGGCCGGCCUUGACCGAGCAGCUCCACGCGGGCCCGGGGCUCGUCCACCCGACAGGAGCGGGGGGCUGCAGCCCACGAGCCCACGAGCCCGCAGCGACGCACCCGGAGUGUAACCUCGCAGAGUCACGGAGACACUUUCCCGGUGUGGGCGCCUCGCCGCGCUUCCUCCCCGCGGGCUGCGGCCACCCCAGGGCAGGACAGAGCCGAGAUGCCCGGGUGGGAGCGAUGCCCGCGUGGGGGCGAUGCAACGGGGGAG